rnacentral:lncRNA from 1 species
GGCUGAAGGGAGCUCUGUGUUUGGGGGCACUAUACACCUGCAGACUGUUGAGGCGACGUAAGGAAGCAAUAACAAGACCACCAGAAAUGAUUAGGGAGCAGCAGAUUGGAACAAGAGAGCAAACCACACGAGAGGAAUGCGAACUUCAUCCAGUCGUGGGUGAGAGAUGAGGACAGAAUGUUGUGUUUCCAUGAGAGCUAUCCCUGAGGGUUCUGACAUAAUCGAGUCCAAAAACUACCUUAGAAGAUGGGUAGAAGCGGUAACAGUGCCAGGAAACAGAGAAGCCAACAAAUAAUACUUUUCUCACAGAGAGUUCAUUUGUAAAAAGCCUGAUUGGGGAAAGGGGAUAAUCUUUGAAUAGAGUUUAAAUUUUGAUUGUUAUUUGACAUG